GAGAGCUGUAUGAUGAGAAAUUAUCACGUAUGGUUUGGAUGGCAACAUUGACUGACCCGUAAAGCUCAGCACUUUCAUCGUGAU
rnacentral:ncRNA from 1 species